GUGGGGAAUAUUGGACAAUGGGCGAAAGCCUGAUCCAGCCAUGCCGCGUGUGUGAAGAAGGUCUUCGGAUUGUAAAGCACUUUAAGUUGGGAGGAAGGGCAGUAAGUUAAUACCUUGCUGUUUUGACGUUACCAACAGAAUAAGCACCGGCUAACUUCGUGCCAGCAGCCGCGGUAAUACGAAGGGUGCAAGCGUUAAUCGGAAUUACUGGGCGUAAAGCGCGCGUAGGUGGUUCAGCAAGUUGAAGGUGAAAUCCCCGGGCUCAACCCGGGAACUGCCUCCAAAACUACUGAGCUAGAGUACGGUAGAGGGUAGUGGAAUUUCCUGUGUAGCGGUGAAAUGCGUAGAUAUAGGAAGGAACACCAGUGGCGAAGGCGACUACCUGGACUGAUACUGACACUGAGGUGCGAAAGCGUGGGGAGCAAACAGGAUUAGAAACCCUUGUAGUCC
rnacentral:rRNA from 1 species